AAAAAAAUAAAAGUUUAAAAAAAAAAGUGUACAAUUAAAUGGUUUUUAGUACAUUCACAGAGUUGUGCAACUAUCACCACAAUUAGUUUUAGAACAUAUUCAUCACUUUCAGAAGAAACUCAGUACCCAUUAGUAUUUACUUCACAUUUUCCCCCAAGCCCACCAGCCCUGGGCAACCACUAAUCUUUCUGCCUCUGGGGGUUUCCCUAUUCUGGACAUUUCAUAUAAAUGGAAUCAUGUGGCCUUUUGUGAUCUGGCUUCCUUUAGUUAGCAUCAUGUUUUCAGGUUCAUCUGUGUUGUAGCAUAUACCCAUACUUCUUUCAAUUGUUAGCUAAUAUUCCGUUAUAUAGACAUGCCACGUUUUGUUAUCCAUUCAUCAGUUGGUGGACAUUUGGUUUGUUUCCGUCUUUCAGCUAUUACAAAUAACACUGCUAUGAACAUUUGUGUACAAGUUUCUGUGUAGAAUAUGUUUUCAUUUCUGUUGCGUGUGUACCCAGGAGUGGAAUUGCUGGGUCCCAGGGUAGCUAUGUUUAGCAUUUUCAGGAACUGCCAGACUUUUCCAAAGCAGCUGUCCCAUUUAACAUUCCUGCCAGCAGUGUAGGAGGGCUCCAGUUUCCUAAUAUUCUCAUCAACACUUGUUAUUAAAUACUUUCUGCUAGACUAUCUUUUGAAAUAAUGAAUUUUGUAAGCUUAUGCUAUGUCAUUUAUUUUCCUGAAAGUAAAAAUAUUUAAAUGAUGCCUCUUACGAUGACUCUUAGCUAUUAUUUUUGAAGUUGGAUACCUGGUUUCACAUUCAAUUUUGUGAUUUUAUAAACUUUCAUCAUAUUCUUUUUAGCUGAAUUAAAAAAUAUAUAUAUAUCUAAAGAGAUAUAUCUUAAUAAAAGUGUGUGUGUGUAUAUAUAUAUAUAUGUGUAUAUAUAUAUAUAUAUAUAUAUAAAAACAAAAAUAAUCUUUUAACCUUAAAAAUAAAGCCCUUCCAUCUUUUUUAUUAGUUUAAUGUUAAAACAAUUAAGCCAGCCAUGAGCCGGGCCCGGCUGGGCCAGCGCGGGCAGCCCGGCCCUGGCCCCGGCCCCAGCCCCACUGUGCCGCCUCCCGAGCCGCCACCCCGCCGUGGCACCCGCGCCCUGGCGCUGCUCGGACCCCUGCUGGGUGCAGCCACCGCCGCCGCCGUCAGGGUCUGCGCCCGCCACGCCGAGGCCCAGGCGGCCGCGCGGCAGGAAUCAAUGCUGAAGACCUUCGGGACAGAUGGCCUUUUUCUCUUUUCCUCCUUGGACACUGACGGGGACAUGUACAUCGGCCCCGAGGAGUUCCAGCCCAUUGCUGAGAAGCUAACAGGGUCAACUCCUGAGGCCAGCUACGAGGAGGAGGAGCUGCCCCCUUGACCCUAGCGAGGAGAGGCUCACCAUAGAAGCCCGAUUCCAGCCUCUUUUCCCGGAGACCAUGACCAAGAAAGAGCAAAGAUGGCUUCCUAAAGGUCUCGCGCCUCACCCUGUCCGGCCUCCGAAACUGGAUGACUGCGGCCUCACCGAGGGCAGUGUUUGCCGCCCGCCACUUCCAGCCCUUCCUUCCCCUGCCAGGCCAGGAGCUGGGCAAACCCUGGUGGAUCAUCCCCAGUGAGCUGAGCGUCUUCACCCGCUACCUGUCCAACAACCGCUUCUAUCCACCGCCGCCCAAGGGCAAGGGGGUCAUCAUCCCCCGGAUCCUGAGCAUGUUCCACCCGCGGCCCUUCGUGAAGACCCGCUUUGCCCCUCAGGGGGCCGUGGCCACCCUGACUGCUGUCAGCGACUUCUACUACACUGUGAUGUUCCGGAUCCAUGCCGAGUUCCAGCCCGACUUCCCCUUCUGGUUCUCCCCUGCUGAGUUCACCGGCCACGUCAUUCUCUCCAAAGAUGCCACCCACGUCUGCGACUUCCGGCUCUUUGUGCCCAACCGCAGGUCUGUGAAUGUGGACAUGGAGUGGCUUUAUGGGGCCAGUGAAAGCAGCAACAUGGACGUGGACAUCGGCUGCAUACCCCAGAUGGAGCUGGAGGCCACGGGCCCCUCAGUGCCCUCCAUGAUCCUGGAUGAGGAUGGCAGCGUGAUCGACAGCCACCUGCCCUCGGGGGAGCCCCUGCAGUUUGUGAUUUGAGGAGAUCAAGUGGCAGCAGGAGCUGAGCUGGGAGGAGGCCACCUGGCGCCUGGAGGUAGCCAUGUACCCCUUCAAGAAGGUCUCCUACUUGCCAUUCACUGAGGCCUUCCACCAAGCUAAGGCUGAGAACAAGCUCGUGCACUCGAUCCUGCUGUGGGGGACCCUGGAGGACCAGUCCUGCUGAGGUUCGGGGGUGGACUCUCCCGGAGAUGGUCCUGGGAAGUUCGCUUAUCCUCACCCUGCUCAACGAGAGUCUCAUCAGCAUCUGGUCCCUGGUGAAGGAGCUGGAGGAGCUACAGAGCAACCAGGAGAACACGGCCCAGCAGAAGUUGGCUGGCCUGCACCUGGAGAAGUACAGCUUUCCCGUGGAGAUGAUGAUCUGCCUGCCCAAUGGCACCGUGGUCCACCACAUCAAUGCCAACUACUUCUUGGACAUCACCUCCAUGAAGCCCAAGGAAAUCGAGAGCAAUCUCUUUAGCUUCUCACCCACCUUUGAAGACCCAUUCACAGCCACCUACAUGCAGUUCCUGAAGGAGGGGCUCUGGCACGGCCUGCACCUGCUGCAGCCCUAGAGUGCCUGCGGGACCGAUGGGAUCUGAUGCACAGGCCCCCACUCCCCAGAGCCAGAGUGGUCCUCAGCCCACUGCUGACUGCAGAUGCCGCCCACGCCCACCCAUUCCUAGGUUGCCUUGGGGGCUACAAUAUCCACUGAGGGUGCCCGUCACAGCCUUGGCUCCAUGGUGGUGGGUAAACAAGGGGUGCCUGGGCUGACUGGGCAGAGGAACCUCUAGCUCUGACUGUCACCCUCUCCCUACCCACUUGGCCCUGGAAGCUGCUUGGGCCCCCCCAGAUCAGGGCCUGGGGGGCCUCGGACCUCUCCCAGCCAGCAACACAGUCUAGGCCCUUGGGGGGUGAAGAAGAGGAGGGAGGAGCAGGCUAGGAGGGCAGGGCCACCAUCCUCUCCUUGCUUCCUUCCCCAAGGAAAUAUCCAGAAGCCCCAGGCAGGAGGGGCCAGGCUGCAAAGGUGGCUCUUCUGUUCUAGCGCCUUGGUUCCUGUCCAAACCCCGGGCUGCCCUCCUGUGCCUGAUGUCCCCAGCUGGGGUCAGCCUCAGCAGAACACAGCCUUCUGGAGCCUCUGGGCAGAACCCUCCAUCAGAAGUGGAAACCAGACUGAACCCCCUGUAGCUCCCCCGCCUGUCUGGGGAAGCUUACUGGGAAGAGGCUUCUGCCUUUAGCAAUGGGGUUCACUAAGAGGGUUCCUGAGGCUUAGGGCCAAGGCUCCCCCACUGCCCACCCCAGCACAGGGUCUCCAUGGGACUGCUGGAGCCAGGACUCCUGCCAUCCCUCCUGCCCCUCAGACCUCACAUCCACGGAAGCGUAGCCCAGCCAAAGAACAGCCUUCUCCAGAGCCAGCACUGUCCCGGCCACAGGGGUGCCCCAGGCUACCUCUUCUACCACUGGGGUGCCAUGGACUCCCCUUGGCAACUCUUGGGACUUUGGUCCACGUUCUGAGCCACUGACCACGGCCAGUCUCUUUUUUUAAUACAUGCAGAAAAGUGUUUUCACACAAACUUUCUCAUGGUUUGUAGGUAUUUUUUUAUAACCCCGGUGCUGAGGAGAAAGGAGGGGCACUGGCGUCCCCGGCAGCAGCCCCAUCCCAUGAUGGCUGGAUCUGAAAUCCUCGAUGGGUCCAGCUUGAUGUCUCUGCAGCUGCACCUAUGGAAAGAAAUAGUCGUCUCUUCUCUUCAGCUUUUUAAAAACAGCCCUCAGAGGAUUCCUGUUCUCCCCGCCCUCUCCCAUCCUCCACGCAGCCCAUGGGCGCCUGUGCACUCUCAUUCAGGCCUUGACGUCAGGCUGCCCCCUCCCAGGACCCUAAUUUUCUCCCCACCUCCUCACCCCACCUAGGGCUCAUUCUUAAACCUGGCAGAGGAAGAAGGAAGCUACAUUGCAGCCACUCCCAGUCCUUCUGUCCACUGACUUCCCCCGCUUGCCUUGGGCGUUCCCACUGAGCCUUCCGCAGCCAAUCAUCUUCUCAAUUUUGUUUUGUUUUGUUUUGAGACGGAGUCUUGCUCUGUUGCCCAGGCUGGAGUGCAAUGGCAUGAUCUCAGCUCACUGCAACCUCCGCCUCCUGGGUUCAAGCGAUUCUCCUGCCUCAGCCUCCUGAGUAGCUGGGAUUACAGGCAUAUGCCAUCAUGCCUGGCCAAUUUUUGUAUUUUUAGUAGAGACAGGGUUUCACCCUAUUAGGCUGAUCUCGAACUCCUGACCGCGACCCCAUGAUCCACCCACCUCAGCCUCCCAAAGUGUUGGCAUUACAGGCGUGAGCCACCGCACCCAGGCUUGUUCUCAAUUUUGUAUCAUCCAGUCAUCACUAACAUUAUACACACUUUCUCGCUUAAUCCUCACGACAAACCUGUGAGGCGAUGCUCAUUGUUCCCAUCUUGAAACUUGAGUCUCCAGGAAGUGAAGUGACUUGCCCAGGGUCACUCAGCCAGAUGGAGUUUUGGGGGUGUUUUUUGGCAAUGCACCCUCACCUCCCUACCUGUUUUCCCUGAGGUAGAAAGGAAGGCCUUUCAAACCAGAGUAUCUCACUCUCCUCUGACCCCCAGACCAGAAGGAGCAUGAGCCAGCCAGCUCAGCCAGGCUCUCUGUGUCCUCGGAGGAAGUGUUCCCAUGACCUGUGCCCCUUAGUGGGAAGGUAGAGCGCCUGAUACUCUCUCCCUGUCUCCCCUGUCCUGUCAGGUGUAGAUGGCAGGGGUAGCUCAUGCAAGCCUUUCUCCCGCUAUUCCUGGAGAGCCAACUCCACAUGCCUGGUCCCAUGAGAGGAGCUGAUGGCCUGGGCUUUCCGAGGCCUCAUCUGAUGCCUCUGCAGUUCCUGUCCCCCACCAGGCCUCAAGGCUCAGGGUGAGAAUGGCCCUAGACUGCCCUCCUGUCACUCCUUUGCCACUUCCCUCCCCUGUCCCCAACAUGCCCUGUAAUAAAAUUAGAGAAGACUGAAAAAAAUAAAAAUAAAAAACAAGCCAGGGACAUUUGUAUCCUCUGAUGUGUCUAGCCUAGUAAUUAUUCAAUAAAUGUGUUUUUAAUCGGUUGAUUCUCAAA